AUGCAAGCGAAUGGCUCGGGCAGGAGACAUGGCUCACGGCGGCGGCGUCUCUCCUCGGGAGGAGCUCGGACGUUGAGGUCGGGGUGUGCGCUACCCUUAGGACGGAGUCCACCGACCCGUGCUGGUCAUGGUCCACCACCACCACGCCUUCAAUCCGACCUCCACCACUCCAGCAAGCAGGAGCAUCGCACUGGAUGA
rnacentral:rRNA from 1 species